rnacentral:rRNA from 1 species
AUGAGUGGCGAACGGGUGAGUAACACGUGAGUAACCUGCCCCUGACUUCGGGAUAAGCCCGGGAAACUGGGUCUAAUACCGGAUACGACUGCCGGACGCAUGUCUGGUGGUGGAAAGUUUUUUCGGUUGGGGAUGGGCUCGCGGCCUAUCAGUUUGUUGGUGAGGUAAUGGCUCACCAAGACGACGACGGGUAGCCGGCCUGAGAGGGCGACCGGCCACACUGGGACUGAGACACGGCCCAGACUCCUACGGGAGGCAGCAGUGGGGAAUAUUGCACAAUGGGGGAAACCCUGAUGCAGCGACGCAGCGUGCGGGAUGACGGCCUUCGGGUUGUAAACCGCUUUCAGCAGGGAAGAAGCGCAAGUGACGGUACCUGCAGAAGAAGUACCGGCUAACUACGUGCCAGCAGCCGCGGUAAUACGUAGGGUACGAGCGUUGUCCGGAAUUAUUGGGCGUAAAGAGCUCGUAGGUGGUUGGUCACGUCUGCUGUGGAAACGCAACGCUUAACGUUGCGCGUGCAGUGGGUACGGGCUGACUAGAGUGCAGUAGGGGAGUCUGGAAUUCCUGGUGUAGCGGUGAAAUGCGCAGAUAUCAGGAGGAACACCGGUGGCGAAGGCGGGACUCUGGGCUGUAACUGACAC